AGAACAACCAUAGAGAGGACGAAGCGGCCUCGGGUAGAGCGGCGCCCCGAAGUCCUCGGGGGUUCACAGAAGGGAGAAAAUAGGAAGGGAGAAUACUGAAUAUUAAAAUAAAUAUCAAGAAGAAAAAACCGCAUGCCCUGAAGAAGUUGAGAGCAGACUCGGAAGCCAGAAAGAGCAGUUUAUCCUAUCAAUCCAAAUUCUCUCCAUCCUCUUUUCUCCAUACUUUCAAAUUAUUUAAUGUUCUCAUAUGUCUUUAAAUAAACCUGGGAGAGAUGUUAAAAGGCAAA